UACGGAGGGUGCAAGCGUUAUCCGGAUUCACUGGGUUUAAAGGGUGCGUAGGUGGGUUAGUAAGUCAGUGGUGAAAUCUUCGAGCUUAACUCGGAAACUGCCAUUGAUACUAUUAGUCUUGAAUAUUGUGGAGGUUAGCGGAAUAUGUCAUGUAGCGGUGAAAUGCUUAGAUAUGACAUAGAACACCAAUUGCGAAGGCAGCUGGCUACACAUAUAUUGACACUGAGGCACGAAAGCGUGGGGAUCAAACAGG
rnacentral:rRNA from 1 species